GCUGAAAUAGUAUAAUGGUAGUACCGUAGAUUUGUAACCUACUAAUCCGAGUCCGACUCUCGGUUUCAGCUCCA
rnacentral:tRNA from 1 species